UCCAGCCAACUGGGAUUGGUGACUCUCAGCCCCUCCCCUCAGCUCCCCCAAACCCUCCCAGAACCUUUAUCAGGGAGCUGGGACUGGUUCCUGCCAGAGCCCUGCACUCUUGCUUCCAUCUCCACAGCAGCACCAGCUCCCCGAUCCUGCCGUGCAGCCAGCUCCACAGACGCCAUGAGGGCCUCCAUGCUGGUCACUGCCAUCCUAGCACUCAGCGUGGCUUGCAGCUUUGGGGCUGUCUGUGAGGAGUCUCCGGAGCAGGUGGCGCCUGUGGGGAGGCACAGCAAGCCUCUGCUUCGUCAGAGGAGUAAGACAGAAAUCGAAAAACAAGGCAGCAUGAGCCUGGAUCCCCGAAGUUCCUCUAAGAAAAAGAAUAGGAUUUGUCAGGACUCUGACCUGUACCAGUUGCCCCAGUCCUUGCUUCGGAGGCUCUACGACAGCCACUCAGUGUCUCUGGAAGGAUUGCUGAAAGUGCUGAGCAAGGCCAGCACGGGACCCAAGGAGACAUCGCUUCCCCAGAAACGUGACAUGCAUGAUUUCUUUGUGGGACUCAUGGGCAAGAGAAACAGCCAGCCAGACGCCCCCACUGAUGUGGGUGAAGAGAAUACCCCCAGCUUUGGCACCCUGAAAUAGGCCCCCAGUGCAGAAUAAGUUUCUGGUCUCAGGGUGGCCAGUCCGAGACCCAAGAAGCUGACCCUAGAUGCCACCUGUCCACGGCUCCCUCGGACCAGGGACUGGGUCCAGUCUCCCACUUACUGUUGGCACUCCACUUGUGGAGCCCCGACGGCACCUUCAGGACAUCGUCUCAGUACCGAUGCCAGAGCAUGCUCUCCUGACUCCCUUUCUGUUUCCCAAGCUUAUCCCACCCUCCGUUUGACUCCCUCUCCUGCUCAGCAUGGAAGCUGCAUAUGAAUAGUUUCAAUCCCUUGGGCACUAUGGUUUCUGAAAUGUCCUGCAUUAAAAAUACAAUGUCUCCUCUUCAACAAUAAAGGGUUUUUACAAAGG